rnacentral:tRNA from 1 species
GAGGUUGUAGCUCAGUGGUAGAGCACAUGGCUAGCAUGCAUGAGGCACUGGGUUUGAUUCUCAACACCACA